UUCCGGUUGAUCCUGCCGGAGGUCACUGCUAUUGGGAUUCGACUAAGCCAUGCGAGUCGAGAGGGUUCGGCCCUCGGCUGACGGCUCAGUAACACGUGGAUAAUCUGCCCUAAGGUGGAGGAUAACCUCGGGAACUGAGAAAUAAUACUCCAUAGGUCUAGGAUGCUGGAAUGCACUUAGGCUUAAAACUCCGGUGCCUUAGGAUGAGUCUGCGGACUAUCAGGUUGUAGUCAGGGUAAUGACCUGACUAGCGUACGACGGAUAUGGGUUGUGAGAGCAAUAACCCAGAGAUGAUAUCUGAGACACGAUAUCAGGCCCUACGGGGCGCAGCAGGCGCGAAAACUUCACAAUGUGCGAAAGCACGAUGAGGGAAUCCCAAGUGCUUGCACGUAAGUGUAAGCUGUUUCUAUGUUUAAAACGCAUGGAGAGUAAGGGCUGGGUAAGACGGGUGCCAGCCGCCGCGGUAAUACCUGCAGCUCGAGUGGUGGCCGCUAUUAUUGGGCCUAAAACGUCCGUAGCCGGUUUAAUAAAUGCCUGGGUAAAUUGUGUAGCUUAACUAUACGAAUUCUGGGUAGACUGUUAAACUUGAGAUCGGGAGAAGUUAGAGGUACUCCUGGGGUAGAGGUGAAAUUCUGUAAUCCUAGAGGGACCACCAGUGGCGAAGGCGUCUGACUAGAACGAGUCUGACGGUGAGGGACGAAGCCCUGGGUCGCAAACCGGAUUAGAUACCCGGGUAGUCCAGGGUGUAAACGCUGCUUGCUUGAUGUUAGUCGGGCUCCGAGCCCGAUUAGUGUCGGAGAGAAGUUGUUAAGCAAGCUGCCUGGGAAGUACGGUCGCAAGGCUGAAACUUAAAGGAAUUGGCGGGGGAGCACAGCAACGGGUGGAGCGUGCGGUUUAAUUGGAUUCAACGCCGGG
rnacentral:rRNA from 1 species